rnacentral:lncRNA from 1 species
CCAGCAGCUCCAGCGGCCGCCCCCCCCAGGCCAGCAGCACCAAUUCGUUGGGUUGCCCGGGGGCGGCGUAAGAAAACGGGGUACCGAGGGGGGGCCCCCCCCCGGGCCGCAGCCACAGACAGACGGACAGAGCCCGCAGAGCCCGGCGGAGAGACCCCAGCAGCCGGGCAUGGAUGUAGUUGGUGCGGCGUGGGAACGCAACCAGGAACGGCCCGGGGGGGGGAGCUGGGGGGGGGCGUUAAUAGGGGGGAGGGGGGGGGCAGGGGGUCCUCAUUAUAGGGCCCCAAACCCCCCCAUGGGGUCAGCAGAGCGCGGCGGUAACCCGGCCUUCAGGUCCCACUGGGAGCCUAUGGGUGACCUCGGGUGACCCCAUCCUGAGUGACCUCGGGUGACCCCGUUCCUGGGUGACCUCGAGUGACCCCAUUCCUGGAUGACCUCGGGUGACCCCACACUCUGAGCGACCCCAUCCCUGGAUGACCUCUAGUAACCCCGUCCUGGGUUGACCUCGGGUGACCACACGCUGUGACCUCCGGUGACCCUCACCCUCCUCCUUCUCUUCCUCCUCGCUCUCCUCCUCCUCCUCCUCCCCGUCUCCAUGGUGACCGCUGCGGUCCCACAGUCCGUCGCCAUGGAGAUGGCCGUGUUUGCUGUGCUGGUUGCCAUGGAAACCGUCGUGGUGGCUGUGCUGGUUGUGCUGGUUGCCAUGGAGGUGGCCGUGCUUCUCCUGCUGCUCGCCGUGGAGGUGCUGGUUGCCACGGAGACCGUGGUGCUGGUUGCCGUGCUCAGCCUUGCUGUGGUUGCCAUGGUGACCGUGCUGGUUGCCGUGGAGACCCUCGUGGUGAUGGACGCCGGCUUUGUGGUCGCCGUGGUGACCGUGAUGGUUGCCAUGGAGAUCAGAAUGAUGGUGGUUGCCAUGGAGAUCGGGGUGGUGGUUGCCGUGGAGAUGAUGGUGGUGCUGCUGGUGGUCGCCGUGGUCACCGCUCUUGCUGUGGUCGCCGUGGUGGCCGUGGUGGUUGCCGUGGAGAUGGGGGUGGUGGUCGCCCAGCUGGUUGCCGUGGGGCUGCUGGUUGCCAUGGGAACGGCUGCUGUUGCCGUGGUGGUGGAGCUGCAGCUCCAGGAGUCCGAUCUUCUUCUGCAGCGCCUCCCGCAGCCCCGACACGUUGCGGCUGUGCUGGGGGGCAGCGGCCGUGUCUGCCCCAUGGCUGCCCCAUAGCAGCCCCAUGGCUGCCCCAUAGCUGCCCCACAGCUGCCCUAUAGCUGCCCCAUGGCUGCCCUAUAUCUGCCCCAUAGCUGCCCUAUAGCUGCCCCAAUGUUGCCCCAUGGCUGCCCCAUAACUGCCCCACAGCCGCCCUAUAGCUACCCCAUAACU